rnacentral:piRNA from 1 species
UAUCAGGCUAUACCUUAACAA